AGCUAGCUAGCUACGUGUGUCAAUACACUGAAUAACGUAGUUUCUUUUCAAUGUAGCUAAACACUUGCUAACUUAGUGGUAGCAAGUACUAUUAAUGCUAGCUGGAUAACACAACUACGAGCUACAGAUUCCCACAAGGUCUCAGGAUGGGAAAUGCUUACAAGAAAGAAAGAAAAAGCCAUCUUUUAGAAGAAAAAGAGCCCCUCUGGUUUACAGAGACAUGACUAGAGGCGUGAUUGCACGUACACCCCUGCCAUGAACUUGGAUAGGGAGUAGUGGGAGAACAGAGCCGGUUCCCUCUGCAGCAGAAUUUGGGCCCCAGCUACAGUGAUGCACAUCCUCCACCAGCAUAAAAAAAAGCAAGGCAGCGGAUGUUGAGGCCUGGAAGAGGUUGAGGGAUCUACUCCACAUGCCUGCAGUGGAGCUGGAAUGUCCUCCACCCAAUGCCAUCUGCAGUGUGUGUAGAGUUUUGGAGGAGGAUGAGCUAUCGCGCUGUGGGGAUUGUGGCUCAGAUAAAUAUUUCUCUGCCACCUGUGCUGUGAAAACACACAGCACUCCCAACAUUGUCCACCAGUUGGAGUUAUGGAAUGUAAUGUAUUUUAUGUUAUGUCAACAAACCUGUCAAUUUCUGGCAAAAAUAAUUGCUUCCCAGUCAAAAAUGUUGAUCAUGUACAUACAGCACAGUUUCUCUAAAAGUUACAGUUCCGGGCAGAUAAAUGUGGCCAAAUCUGUCGUGCCAAGCACAGAAUUGAUUUGGAGUUUUCUAACAAUUUGUGCAAUGAAAUAUCCCCCUGAUAGUGUAGUUUCAAAUCUGCAGCUACUGUAGUCUGUUCUACAACAACUUUGUGUCUGUCUGUCUGUCUUAGUCAGGGCAGUUCAUCCUAUGUGUCCCGGUGGGCCUAUGAUGGAAGUGGAGGACACAAGAUGACCAUAACUGUCACAGCCAGUACAACCGUCUUCUGACAGUUGUUGACGUUAGAGGUAGGCCUUAUAUCAAAAUCGGAAACUUAAACAUCUGGCUCUUUUACCAUAUUGCAAACUGUAUUAGAGCAUUAAGUGUAGCAGCACCAUGCCCAGAGACAGUUUCUCCCUCCAAAUCAAAUGUUAUUUGUCUCAUGUGCCGAAUACAACCAGGGAAAUGCUUACUUACAAGCCCUU